CAAAGCUCAGGAACAAAACAAACAUAUAUUCAUAAAAAAUUUACAGAGAAACUCUCACAUAAAAAGUCUUCCCCUCUUAAAUCUCUCCCUUCCAGAUUCAGAACCGUUUAGUGGAAAGAUGUACAUGUUGUAGAAACUCUCCAGAUUAAUAAGGACCAGAUCAUACCUGUGAGUGUGUGCAUCUGUGUUUCUAACCUAGCUACAGCAGUCAAAAAUGUCAUUAUAAACAAAUAUUCAACCUUUUGGUCUCGUUUUAUGUCUCAACGUGGAUCUAUUAUGUUAUUUCUCCUGCAAACAAGUUUAGCUUAUGCUGACAUCGCUGAAGUUUCUCCUGUUGUUUAUCCCAGGCAGAUCUGCUCCUCCUUUGCACCACACUGAGCCACAAAGCCUUUGCUAUGUAGAAACAGCAGACAUUGAUGCGUAUCUUGUAGUGGGAAGAACCAAAAGGUAACUUGCAUUCUUUCAAGGGUGAGUUCCUUUGGAAAGGAGAGCGCCACCUUCUGGACACAGGCCACAUGCUCCUCCGAGAAACUGUGCUGCGAAAUAGCAUAUGGACUGGCCAUAUACACAGGAGCAUCACCAAAUGCUUACAGUACCCCUGAGGUUUGGCUGACCAUAUGUCCUUCCGUCAAUAACCAUACGAGCCUUAGAUGUUGUGCUUACAAACCCCAACAAACAUAAGAUUGAUCCCUACUUUCCUUACCACAAAUCCUUUUGUCACAAUUAGCAUAUAAGAUGUUUUUUUUUGUUAUGUAUUAUUUGUGCUUACCAUAUUUUCCUUUGUAUAUGCAUGCAGAUCCACAGCUGGAAUGAGUCUGUUGACCUGAAGUCUUUGUUUCAGAGAGGUAGCCUACUGCGUCGUUCAUCCUAUGCAGUAUCCCAAGGGAAAGGUUUUGGAAAGUUAAUCAACACAGGAGUUGAGCUUACCUCUAUGGUGCCCCCACAGGAUUGGAGGGUUACAGCAGACGGUGUGAAGAAAGAAUCUCCACAGGGUUCACAAAUAGAAUUGAAUAGUGGUGAUGCUAGCAUCUUCAGUGUGUUUUUUUCAUACACUGAAAAGGUAAUGUAAUUUAAAUAUAUAUUAUUUUUCUUUUUUUUGCUGCAAUCAAAUCCAGGCUAAAUGAAUAAACAGACAAUAUCAUGAAAAUU